rnacentral:rRNA from 1 species
UACGUAGGGGGCGAGCGUUGUCCGGAUUUAUUGGGCGUAAAGAGCUCGUAGGCGGUUCGGUAAGUCGGAUGUGAAAUCUCCACGCUCAACGUGGAGGGGCCAUUCGAUACUGCCGUGACUCGAGUCCGGUAGGGGAGUGUGGAAUUCCCGGUGUAGCGGUGAAAUGCGUAGAGAUCGGGAGGAACACCCGUAGCGAAGGCGGCACUCUGGGCCGGUACUGACGCUGAGGAGCGAAAGCGUGGGGAGCGAACAGG